rnacentral:rRNA from 1 species
CCUACGGGAGGCAGCAGUAGGGAAUUUUGCGCAAUGGGCGAAACCCUGACGCAGCAACGCCGCGUGAACGAGACGCCCUUCGGGGUUUAAAAGUCUUUCAAUGGGGACGAAAAAUGACGGUACCCACAUAGGAAGCACCGGCUAACUCCGUGCCAGCAGCCGCGGUAAUACGGGGGGGGCAAGCGUUAUCCGGAUUUAUUGGGUUUAAAGGGUGCGCAGGCGGAAUGUCAAGUCAGAGGUAAAAUUUCGGGGCUCAACCCCGUCGUGCCGUUGAAACUGGCGUUCUUGAGUGAGCGAGAAGUAUGCGGAAUGCGUGGUGUAGCGGUGAAAUGCAUAGAUAUCACGCAGAACUCCGAUUGCGAAGGCAGCAUACUGGAGCUCAACUGACGCUCAUGCACGAAAGCGUGGGUAUCGAACAGGAUUAGAUACCCGGGUAGUC